GGCGAUUAGCUCAGUUGGGAGAGCACCUCCCUUACAAGGAGGGGUCACUGGUUCGAGACCGGUAUCGCCACCA
rnacentral:tRNA from 1 species